CACACGAUGGAUCACAUUUCUAACACCAAAAAUUGACCCCCCUUCAUAUAGAGUCAACGCACAUAUCUUGAUUCAAACUCAAUCAUCUUGAAGAAGAAUUCAUUGCUGUUCCCAGGCUGUGAUCUUGAAAGCAACCGAACAUGGCGGACGUGAUAUUUCUGAAGCUUCAAAACGGAAAGAUCAUAAAAAGCGAAGGUGACAACGCAAUAUAUUGGUUCGUGAAACAAGAAAAGCGGAAAUAUAAACGUCUGAUAAAUUUUAAAAACUUCUACUACCGGAUCGGUUUUCUCGAACCUGAUCUUGGUGUUAGGGACAUGAUUUUGGCUCGCCUGUUUUUAAUGCCUGAGUGUGUACAAGUUUUCGGGUGGGUCGAGUCAUUGCCUGACGAGAUGUUUGCAUCGCUUGUUAGAAACCUGAAAGAUCAUCUCGACUACUUGUUAUUUCCCAUGGCACCAGAGUUCGAUCGUUGCGCAGAAUCUCAAUUUGGAUUAGGGUUUGGUGGUGCAUUGCUGAGAGCAGUGAGUCAUGUACAAGUGGGACAGUCCUCAUAUUGGAGUAUAUAGGAUACUUAAAGAUUUUUGGGUAAUGUUCUUUGAUCAAACAUUAUAUGUUUUAGUAGUUAGAUGGAUUUAGGGAUUUCAGGUUCCGUAGCGGUCGAAUAUUGUUGGAUUGUAAAGUUUUGUUCAUAAUAAUGAUUGUAUUGAAGAAAUGGUCUCAUAAUAGUGUGUUG